rnacentral:rRNA from 1 species
GGUAGCUUGCUACUGGAUUCAGCGGCGGACGGGUGAGUAAUGCUUAGGAAUCUGCCUAUUAGUGGGGGACAACGUUCCGAAAGGAGCGCUAAUACCGCAUACGUCCUACGGGAGAAAGCAGGGGACCUUUGGGCCUUGCGCUAAUAGAUGAGCCUAAGUCGGAUUAGCUAGUUGGUAGGGUAAAGGCCUACCAAGGCGACGAUCUGUAGCGGGUCUGAGAGGAUGAUCCGCCACACUGGGACUGAGACACGGCCCAGACUCCUACGGGAGGCAGCAGUGGGGAAUAUUGGACAAUGGGGGGAACCCUGAUCCAGCCAUGCCGCGUGUGUGAAGAAGGCCUUUUGGUUGUAAAGCACUUUAAGCGAGGAGGAGGCUACCUAGAUUAAUACUUUAGGAUAGUGGACGUUACUCGCAGAAUAAGCACCGGCUAACUCUGUGCCAGCAGCCGCGGUAAUACAGAGGGUGCGAGCGUUAAUCGGAUUUACUGGGCGUAAAGCGUGCGUAGGUGGCCAAUUAAGUCAAAUGUGAAAUCCCCGAGCUUAACUUGGGAAUUGCAUUCGAUACUGGUUGGCUAGAGUAUGGGAGAGGAUGGUAGAAUUCCAGGUGUAGCGGUGAAAUGCGUAGAGAUCUGGAGGAAUACCGAUGGCGAA